rnacentral:rRNA from 1 species
AUUGAACGCUGGCGGCAUGCCUUACACAUGCAAGUCGAACGGUAGAGGGGCAACCCUCGAGAGUGGCGAACGGGUGAGUAAUGCAUCGGAACGUGCCCAGUAGUGGGGGAUAGCCCGGCGAAAGCCGGAUUAAUACCGCAUACGACCUACGGGUGAAAGGGGGGGAUCGCAAGACCUCUCGCUAUUGGAGCGGCCGAUGUCAGAUUAGGUAGUUGGUGGGGUAAAGGCCUACCAAGCCGACGAUCUGUAGCUGGUCUGAGAGGACGACCAGCCACACUGGGACUGGGACACGGCCCAGACUCCUACGGGAGGCAGCAGUGGGGAAUUUUGGACAAUGGGCGAAAGCCUGAUCCAGCCAUGCCGCGUGCGGGAAGAAGGCCUUCGGGUUGUAAACUGCUUUUGUACGGAACGAAAAGCCCUGGGUUAAUACCCUGGGGUCAUGACGGUACCGUAAGAAUAAGCACCGGCUAACUACGUGCCAGCCGCCGCGGUAAGAC